rnacentral:rRNA from 1 species
CGUCAAAUCAUCAUGCCCUUUAUGUCCUGGGCAACACACGUACUACAAUGGCCGCAACAGAGAGAGACGAAGCAGAGAUGUGGAGAAAAACUUAAAAAAGCGGUCUCAGUUCGGAUUGAAGGCUGAAAUUCGCCAGCAUGAAGCCGGAAUUGCUAGUAAUGGCAGGUCAGCAUACUGCCGUGAAUACGUUCCCGGGCCUU